rnacentral:rRNA from 1 species
AUGAACGCUGGCGGCGUGCCUAAUACCUGCCAGUCGAGCGAACAGACGAGGAGCUUGCUCCUCUGACGUUAGCGGCGGACGGGUGAGUAACACGUGGAUAACCUACCUAUAAGACUGGGAUAACUUCGGGAAACCGGAGCUAAUACCGGAUAAUAUAUUGAACCGCAUGGUUCAAUAGUGAAAGACGGUUUUGCUGUCACUUAUAGAUGGAUCCGCGCCGCAUUAGCUAGUUGGUAAGGUAACGGCUUACCAAGGCAACGAUGCGUAGCCGACCUGAGAGGGUGAUCGGCCACACUGGAACUGAGACACGGUCCAGACUCCUACGGGAGGCAGCAGUAGGGAAUCUUCCGCAAUGGGCGAAAGCCUGACGGAGCAACGCCGCGUUAGUGAUGAAGGUCUUCGGAUCGUAAAACUCUGUUAUUAGGGAAGAACAAAUGUGUAAGUAACUAUGCACGUCUUGACGGUACCUAAUCAGAAAGCCACGGCUAACUACGUG